AUUGAAAUGAAGUUCAUUGGUUGACAGCUGUACAUAAUUAGCCAGCCAGGAUAGAAGGGUCUGGGUUUCCUUUAUGAGGUGCAACCAAAACAGCUGUUAAACAUAGCAACAGAGAUAUUCUGGCAGGGUGUCUGGCUAGCAUUAGUUCUGAAUACUGUUGUGGUUUUGAUCACUAAAAUGGCUGUGACUUUUGGACUCUCUUUGAGUGUUUCUUGGAUUUGCUGCCUGCUAAUUGGAGGGAUAACUUGUUUUACCCUUCAAGGUGACGCUUAUGGGCAUCCUGCCUACACUGGACCUGAACCAACUGGAUCCCAUGCCCAAGCAAGUGUGGUGUCUGGUCAAAAUGCUGAAGCUACAGGCCACAAUACCCUGGCAAGUGUGAAGCUGUGUCCAAAUGCCUCAGCAGAAGCGUCCGGCCCCCGCGCCUCGGCAGAAGCGUCCGGCCCCCGCGCCUCGGCAGAAGCGUCCGGCCCCCGCGCCUCGGCAGAAGCGUCCGGCCCCCGCGCCUCGGCAGAAGCGUCCGGCCCCCGCGCCUCGGCAGAAGCGGCCCCCGCGCCUCGGCAGAAGCGGCCGGCGCCUCGGCAGAAGCGGCCGGCGCCUCGGCAGAAGCGGCCGGCGCCUCGGCAGAAGCGGCCGGCGCCUCGGCAGAAGCGGCCGGCGCCUCGGCAGAAGCGGCCGGCCCCCGCGCCUCGGCAGAAGCGGCCGGCGCCUCGGCAGAAGCGGCCGGUCCCCGCGCCUCGGCAGAAGCUGCCGGCCUUGAACAGACGGCCCGACCCCUCAACAAGCUAGAUAGGGAGAUCAUAAUUUGGUUUGCCCAACUCCUUAAUCGUCUUUCCCCUGUUACUGUGCCUCCAUUUGAAGAAAAGGGCAAAGGUAACUGAGGUGAGGAAAUGUGCAAACCAAUGCACUUGUUUGAAAUGAGGAUCUCCUUCACUUGUGCAUCGCCAUGCAAAUUGUUUACAGUGGUGGACGCUACUAUUGCUGACACACUUAUGUUCUACGGUUAUGAUAUUGAUUUGGCCUGGUGUUCCUGCUACUCUUGCAUGAUUUGAUCAAUAAACAAUUUGACUUUCAAAAUGCCUUGUCUUUAAAAUGUGGGGUUCUCUUCUGCCUACCAUGUGCUUGCUGUUUGGGAAUAGACUGGGUCUGGAGUAAAAGAGAAUGUGGUUCACAACACUUGUGUAAACAAAUGUUUCUGGUAGUUCAAAUGCUGAAGUUCUAAAUUGUCAGCGCUCCCUCAUAUGUUCCUAGUUUACCUGUCCCUUUUGUGUAGGGUGUUUGACUUACAGUAAUCGGCCUGUUACCAUGGGUGCCUAAAGAAUGUGAGUGCAGUUUACCUCAUCAUCCCAUUGCUUGUCAC
ensembl:lncRNA